AUGGUGUGCCACGCAGCUGGUUCGGCCGGGCCCGGUGGUCCGGUCGAGGCAACAGGGAACCCGGUGUAAAUCCGGGACUGCCCCGCAGCGGUGAGUGGGAACGACCGCCGUCAUCGAGCACUGGACCGCGAGGUCUGGGAAGCGACGGCCAGUAGGCGACCGGUGGACCCCGGUCCGGCCCGCGAGUCCGAAGACCUGCCAGCGCGCCGUGCGCUGC
rnacentral:ncRNA from 1 species